AAAUUGAAGAGUUUGAUCAUGGCUCAGAUUGAACGCUGGCGGCAGGCCUAACACAUGCAAGUCGAACGGUAACAGGAAACAGCUUGCUGUUUCGCUGACGAGUGGCGGACGGGUGAGUAAUGUCUGGGAAACUGCCUGAUGGAGGGGGAUAACUACUGGAAACGGUAGCUAAUACCGCA
rnacentral:rRNA from 2 species